GGAGGAGGAGCAGGAGGAGGAGGGAGGGAGAAGACUGAGGUAUGAAGAGGAGUCUCUGACUUCUGAACUUUUCCACUGCUGUAUAUCCUGACUGAACUCUUAAUGCCACAGAGAUACCGCCAGUGUCAGUUGAUUCGAUGAUCUGUUUCUGUGAUCUGGUCGUUGAGUCAGGCUCUGCUAAAACAUAGACUGUGUGCACCAUAUCCCAGAUGGUUCAGGAUCUAUAGGAAAGUGUCUCACCUGAUCAUGAAAAAAGACAGAAUUCUCCUCUCUUGAGUCCUACUAUGAAAUGUCAAGCAUUACUAGACCUCUGAAAAUGUCUGAACAACAAACUGUUGUGUCAAGUAUGCCAUGAAAUUAACUUUGAACUUAACCCCACAGCAUACCGGAGAAUGAAACUGGUGGCAGGCUUUCAGAUUGUAACCGAAAUAGAAAAAGAUAAGAACAUUCAGUCUCGGAUAAAUCCUGAGUACCUGCCUGGAUUUGUAGCUAAUGUUGCAUAACCACCUUCCGCAAUACAGAAGAUGAAUUUCAGCUGAGAUAGCUGGUGCACAGAAUAAAAACACUGGAAUUAUAUUCAAAUUGUAUAGGUUGUUCCCAAAAAGUUUGAGGGGCUGACCUCAACUGAACUCAUGAAAGUGAAAGCACUGGAUCUGACUGAACUCUGCUGACUGCUAGACAAAGGGAACAUAAAAUCUGACCCCAGGGAAUCUCAGGCUGCACCCACCUGGUGAAUGACUUUUUCUUAUGGCAGACCCUUAAAAUUAGGCCUGUAACUGAGGUUAAGUAGCCAUUAUGCACAGGAAAAAAAAACUAUCACCGCUCUCAAUCUCAAAGAAGCAUGGAAGGGCUAGGUUUAACCUUGAAGAACACUUAAGAGUGUAGAGGCAGAAUAUAGCUACAAAAUAGUGAGAAGAGGCCUAAAUCAGACCUCAGAUAUCUACUAUGCAUUGAUUUGUGAAAGGGACAGCUAGACUUAGAGGAUCCCAGUGCAAGCAACUGAUCAAGAAGAGCGAAGGAGGUGCAUGGUAUUCUUCAAAGAUCCCAUAACAGAAAAAGAGAACUUUAUCUGGACCUAUGCUGUUAAUUGGGUUUAAAAUUGGUCUUAAAUGACCUGGGGGACCGGAUAAACUUCAGAUGACUCCUGGGACACAAAAAAGGCAAAGCCAAACUCAAAAAAUCACUUGAGAAAACUAGCUGGAAUUAAGAUCAACUUAAUUCUUGUGCAGGCUAGUUGGCUCUGAGUUUGACUUCAAACAACUUACAAAAUAAAAGCAAAGACAAUAAUAUCGACCAUUGGGUGUAGAGCUGACCUUCAAUGGAUCUCUUGUCCUCAGAUGACCUCUUUUAGCUAAUUUGCUGGCAUGUUGACCUAGAGGAUGAAACAAGUGCCAGUUUGACCUCAAGUGACCCUUUCUACUAAUUAGAGCUCAUAUUUUACCUAAACUGACCCCUUACUGCAAACUCAGAUGAUUGAAUAUGAAGUUGGACUCAGAUGAAUCUAGUCAGGAAACAAGUGCUGUGAUUGAAUUCUAAUGACCUUUGAGCACCAAAUGAGCACCUCAAAUUAAAACCCAAGCAAUUAAUUAGAUCUCAGUUUUACCUUAAGUGACCUCUGGAUACAAAAAAAUGCUGUACUGGCCUUAGAUGAACCCAAACAUCACAGGUUCUCUGUUGACCUCAAAUGAACCGUGGCAGCCUAAUUGGAUCUCAAGUGGACAUUAAAUGAUUGUUGCCUCCUUCAAAUGAGGACAGCAUUGAUCAUAAAUGACUGCUGUACAUGCAAUCAGAUGUCAACUUGACUUCAGAUGUUCCUGGACUUCAACAAAUAACCUAGUUGACUUCAAACAAUGCCUUAUGUAUAUGUUGUCUCAUGAUGAUGUCAGGUUACUCUCCUGGACAGCUUACUUGGACUUUAGGUUGACCUCAGAUGAUGUAAUGGUGAUUAUCUAGCCCUCAAAUUGAACUGAGAUGAUCCCUGAGUAGGAAGUAAUGGCUGUGGUGAUCUCCAGUGAUCUUGACUGUUUUUGUGCACUCUCAAGUUGACUCUAAAAUGAUCCCAGGCAUAUACUUGAGUUUCAUGUCCACUUGAAUCUUGUGACCAUUUGGCCUUCAAAUUGGAUAACUCCCAAAAAACUUUUGAUCAGAACUCAUCUAUUUCCUCACUACUACAAACCAAGGCCACAUAGCUGAGCCUGGGAUCUGUGGACCCUGGCAAACUAGGACCAUGGUUUGUUAUAUUUGUUGCUGUUUGUUUGUUUAUUUGUUUGCGGGUUUUUGUUUUUUUUUUUCUGAAAAGGAGCACAGUGCAUCAAACUAAAGAUGGUAGCUGACUUCAGACGACAUCUGAUCAAUAAUAUAUGGUGGCACUUAAACAUACACAUCCUCUGACUGACAGAAACUGAUGUGGUACAUCUCACAGUAAUAUCCUUUAGAAGUAGUUGUGUGGAGAAUUGUUACUUCAGAGAACUUCAGAUUGGAGAAUAUGCCAGUGUUUGAUCUCCAACAGUCUCCUCACCUAGAAAGCUGAGGUGGUGUUUGACCUGAGUAUAUCUUUAUUUAUGAAACUUUUCACCUUGUGUCUUCUGCUUCUGCUACCAAAUUGUGCCUCAGUAUUUCAGUAGAUUAUUUCAGGUAAUCUCUGAACAACACAUGAAGUAGCCAGACAAAUCUCUUAUAUUUGACCAAUAGUCUGCAAUAACAGUGAAAUUAUAUCCACCUCAUUAUGGAGUUUGGAGCAAGUGUGCUUAACAGCAUGUUUACUGUCUCUGUGUAAAUAAGGCAACGAUUGUCAGUUUGGGUCCUACACAUAUUUUUUGGGCAUCAUUAACAUGAGGAAGACCUUCCACAGUGAAUUUGGGCAGAAAUCGAUCUUUACUGAUCUCUGAGCUGUAAAUGAGUGUGUGUGCUGACCUCCAGAUAUACAGGUUUGGCCAUAAAUGAUCUACUGAGAACAAAUAUGGAUCUUGGGCACCUUACAUAGCCAUGGUAGUGAUAGUGGCGGUUCAUUUCAGCUAAAUUCAUUUUAACAAUGCAGGCUGCUCUGAAAGGAAUGCUUCCUGUUUAAUUAUGUUUUCUCAUAAAGUCAGAGGUGGAUGUUGGUGACAUGGCAGUAGAGACUGAAGAUUCCCACCAAUAUUCCAUUAUAUUUUGUUGCCAUGUGACAGAUGGCAGCAGAGAGGCAGUUUGACAGAAUGGUGUCUAACCUGGAUGUAGGUAUGAAGCAAAGGAGUGUGACUGAACUCCUCCAUGCAGAAAAAAUAGCACCCACCAACAUUCAUUGAUGCUUGCUGAACAUUUCUGGAGACCAAACUGUGAAUGUGAGCAUAGUGAGGCAGUGGGUGAUGCAUUUCAACAGUGGUGACAGUGGCAGUGGAUCAACUCAGCUGGCGCAGAUUGUUACGAGUAUGGCAUGCAGGCUCCUAUUCAUCAUUGGUGAAAAUGCAUAGCUAAUGAUGGUGACUGUGUUGAAAAUAGUGUUUUAUACCUGGGAAUUUGCUCUAUCAAAUCGUGCUAUUGUGCUCUUUGUAUGUGUUAUAAUAUCCAUGAAAAUAAAUCAGAGACAUUACUUUCAGAGUGACCUAUGUAUGUUGAUUGCAAAUAUGCCUGUGCUGCUUGUGUAUUAGAGCAUGUGGCAGUAUGUGGAGGGGAGAUAGUGGUAAGGGUUAUGGCGGAGGGCACAUAUUUUCUGCAUGGGCAGAGCUAAGGUGAUAAGGUUUGGCUGGAAGAAUGCCAGACCUUCUUUCUUCAUUUGGUGAAAUCCUAACAUGAAUGGAUAUUGAUCUAAAAUUAAUAGACUUUCUGGAGAGCUACAGCUCUGAUGUUUAAAUUAAAUUUCUGUAGACACAUCUAUAUUACUAUCUUUUAAGUACAUAAUAGAUCAUUAUGAAACAAAUUGGAUAGUCUAAGUAUGAGUACAAAAUGGAUUUGCUGUCUUUUUCCUCUGCAUGAAUGUGUGCACUAAUUGGAAACCCUGGGAUUCCCAAGAGACAAGUCAGACAGCUGGCUCUUUACCCUCUAUGUGCCAGCAAAUUUCAGAUAAUUGCUUUACCUACCUACAUUCUUGCUUCUAUUUAAUGAAUAUAACAAAAUUAUUUAUGUGAAUAAAGAUUAAAUUGUUUUGAUUUCUUCAUCCCUUAAAUAUAAUUGUGUUGGUUCAAAUCCACAGGAACACUGAAGACACUAACAGAAGAAGUGUUUUUAGGUGAUGCAUUUUUGGCCAUCAACAAUGUUUGACCACUGGGAAAGACCUGGAAACAUCAGGGAAGCACAGUUUUAAUUAAUAGAGAGCCAGAGAAGAUUUUUCUUUACCACCACUGACUUCCAUUAGGCCUUGCUGAAGUGGAACAUCACAGCAAAGAGAAAGAUUCCUUCCCCUCCAUUGCAAUCCUAAUUCCAGUCUCUAUUUAGGUGCUGAAUUCAGAUUCAUCCAUAAUUCCUUGCUGCUGAGGCUUCAGCACAUGCAGGGAGGUAUUCAGCUGGAUGAGAUGGAGAGACUGUUUCUUUCUAACCCUUCUUUUAGCUACAGAGCUUUUGAACAGUAAAAUAUUCUGCACAACCUGAAGUUGCUUGGAUUGCUGUAUUCAGAUGGUUACUUAAGCACGUCUAGAGCUUUAAGCUCAUUGGAAGAGAGUUCCAGGCUUUUGUAUGAAGCACGUCUGCUACACACUCUCUAUGGAUGCCUAAAUGCCAGCUUGUGUUUCCAUUGGAGUUGCCCUAGCUUGUCCAAAGAGUCCAUGCAUGAGAGACCUGAGACCUUGAGGAGCAGCAGGCAGACAUCAAGCAGGGUACCCCUGUGCAAUGUGGACAGGACCAACAAACCUCUCUGGCCUGCUGCAUUGAGCCCUUACAGGCAGAACACCACGUGAAAGAUUUGCUCUGAUCUUUGGAGAACCAUAGUCACACAGAGAGUUUUAAUGUAUGUCUGUAGGAGGAGAUAGUUUUUAUUAGUCUGAUCAAUAUAACUGAGAUAAAACCUUCUGAAUUCAGAGUCCCUUCAUCUAACUGAACCCUGUAAGUCUUGUUUUUUUUUUUCAUAUACACAGACCAUUGAAUGUACAAUAAAACUACUGCAUAUAUAGGAAGGCAAACAAAGAGGAAGGGAAGCAUGGCCCAUAACACUAAAAUUACCUCAUUCUUUCACAACAAACAGGCACUUCACAUCAAGAACAGUACAGAUUUGUGUCUAUCCUACCAAAUGAAUAUUCAAUUCAGGUUUCAAAAGAUUCCUUUUGGGGAUAGGGAUGGGAAGUAGAGGUGUAGAGUGGAGGCAUAUGAAAAAAGGGAAGAGGCAGAGAAAUUGCUGAGCCAGACUUUGAUUCACCCAGUCUAAAUGCUGGACUAUUUUGGGGAUGUUUAUUACAUUUCAUGAGACCAUUCCUGUUACGAAGACACUGCUCAAAGUGCACGGGAAGUGAUCAUCAGAUGCAUCCACCUUACAGCAUGAUGUGGAAGGCUACAUUUGCAUGCAUAUGUAAUUAAUUAAGUGAAUAUCUGUAAGUGUAUAAUCCUUCUGGGACUGACAAUUGUUAUCUGAUGUUGUAUUAUGUAAAGCAUUUCACCAAUGUGUUCCUUGAAAACUUACAUUAAUCUGUAUCAUCAUCUAUCUUUGAGGGACUGUAAUGGGCACAAUGUGUAAGACAGUUUGUACAUGCACAAAUAAAGCUGCCGUGAGCCUGGACAGUGGAGCUACACUGACAUUGACCCGACAUUACGGAAUAGGAGGCCAUGCCCUGUAACUCUGUUUUAAAAUACAUUCUUUAUGUCACUUCUCAGUGUUGGUGACUGUGCUGUUUGCCAGUCAGUGCCUAUGACAGUUUGUUUGCCUCUCUUCUUCUAGAAGAGAGGUAUUUUACCUCUCUUCUUCCUAGACAGGCAAGAAAGGUAUUCUAGUCUUGAAAUACCGAAGACAAAAAGAAAGGAAAUACAAACUGCACAAAAUCUGUUUGUAUUGUUGCAGAACACAUUGUUUCUGAUAUUCUAACUUAAAAAUAUACAGUUGAAUAUGAAAUAAUGAUACUGUAGCAAUGCUUAUUCAAAUACCAGCAGCAUACUUAUCAUAGAGUUCUGUAUUUGGAACACUUGAAUACAACAAUCUAUUUCAUGCAAGUAGUAAACUGCUCAUCUUCAUGAAGUCUGAAACACAGAUGCUCAUGCAUGUACUUAUUAUUACAUUUAUCUGCAUGUCACGCAUGCACUUAUUAUUACAUUUAUAUCAGAUGGAUGCAAAAUCUCUGGAUAAGUCUUAAAUCUCGAGGACUUGAAAGUGUAAUUAUGCUAAGAUGCACUUACGGCAUUUCAGCACCUAAACUUGCAUGCUUGUGCUGUGACUUGAGAACAUUUAAACACAUAGCUGGCUUUAAGUUUAUGCUUAGCAACUUGCAAAAUGAGGCCUUAGAUAUUCUUUCUGAAUUUUUUCCUGCUUUGAAUUCGGGCUCCUAAAAAUGAGAUGAUUGUAUAUUUGAAAGGUGCUAUCUUCCGCUGCAACAGCUAGCACUCUAUCUUUCAUUAUUAAUUACUAUUAGAAAUACACAAACUUAAAAAAUAACCAAUGUGUUUGUCAUUUCUUCUAAACGCAGUACCUUUUUCUUAAUAGGAUAAUCUGCUGUUGUAUUAUUGUGCAGCACGCCUUCAUGCAAAUGUCUCUAGCUCUAAGUCUUUUGGUCUUCUACUAGCUGAGGCGUUCCUUAAAAUAAUAGAGAAAUAAAUGAAGAAAUCUAACAAUUUACAUAUUCAGAAGUUGCAGCUGUGAUUUAAAUAGCAAAACUGAGCCUCUUUUGGUGCAUUGGUGGAGAAACAUGCAAUACUUACUCUAAUAGGCUAAGAGAAAUCAUGAAAGUGAAUAUGGACUCCUUAUGUUUAGGCUUUUAUUUUUACUAUUCUCUUUUGAAAAUGCAUACACAGUACUUUUUCCUGACAGAUUCAGUUGAUUUAAAGGGGGUUGGGGAAAAAAAUAACAAAACAGCUUUUAUUUUCUUAUGCUUUUUUUUUUUUUUUUUUUUUUUUUUUAAUUUUCUUCAGCAUUAAAGAAAGGAACUUCAUCAACAUUGAUUGUCAUUUACAGAAAACAUUCAAAAAUCAUGUGUGCAUUAUUAUGGAAUGCUAACAGUAUUGAACUAAUAAUUUACAUGACAUAAAAGAAGACAAAUAUCUAUUACAUUCUAAAGUAAUAUAGAAACUUUUCAUUUGACAGGAAUGCUGGUCCUAGGAAAUUUAUGACAAAAAAUAAAACCCUCAAAUGGUCACUUUCUAAAUGAAUCAGGCUGUAGUUUUACUCACAUACACAUAAAUUAGGUCUGUUAUAUUAAACAAGGGAUAAAGAUCAGAAGAAAACUGCAGGUGUAAAAACACUGUGUGAACUCCUGGCUUCACAGAAAUCAGUGGGAGUUUUGCCAUUGGUUUCAGUGGAACCAGGGUUUCACCCAGUUUGACAUUGCUUGUUUGUGGUUUUUGCUUUUUUGCAUCUACAAGCCAGUUAAGAUACAUUAUAGUUAUUAUACAAUUAAGCUUCAGAACAACAACAAAAAAAUGUUGACUCUGCGAGGCAUUUGAUUUUAGGAAUGAAUUUUCAUUCUGCUUUCCAGAGUGAUUCGUUUUGUUAUAUGCAUUUUCUUUGAUUGUUUUGACAGGCAAUGCAACUUUUGUGCGUUACCAACAGUGUUAGCAAGUGGUUUGCAAGUAGCAGCCCCCCCACAAUUCAAAUUAAAUUGAUUUAGAACAAUAUAGCUACAGCCAGGCACCAAACAGCUCGAGGCCUGGAGAUCUGGUCUUAGCAUCUCAUUUCACUCUAAGAAAACGAACUGGAAAUAGAAUAAAAAAAUUAGAUAUUUGAAAGUGGGAAGUAUAUGAAAAAUCAGUUUCUCUCGUAAUCCUAAAAGCAAGGAAGCAUUUCCAGGGAUAUUUCAAAAAUAUUAGAAAGUUUCAUUUAAAUCUAAAUAUCUAUUUUAAUUAUGUUUUUCUUUUUGUACAAAUUGGUAAUCAGAAAAUACUAGCCAUUAAAUUCAUAUUGGGAUGCAGGAAAAGCAUCCAACUGGU